rnacentral:lncRNA from 1 species
GUGUGGUGUAUAGUUAAGAAAAACCAGUUGUUUUCGCAAUUGGAUGGCUGGAUUGAAAACAGAAAAACGAAAUGAACAUGCAGCAGGAUACGUGAUAUAUGCUACUUACGACGUGCAUUAGGUGCAGACAAGAAUUCCUUUACCACGAAAGUACUUUAAGUGAAUGUUGGAUCGUUGGCACUAACCAUUAAUCCCAAAAGCUCAAGCUGUUAGAAAUAUACUCUCAAUUCACUUAAAACAUACAGACACAACGCCAAGGGCCUUGAUUGUGACUUGGCCUAACCAGCCUUACGUCAUAUCAAACAUGAUUCGACCGAAUCCAGCAUCUCUCAAUUUCGAACGUACGUAAUUCCAUCUAAUUUGACCUCCCGUUACUUAUAAGGUAGGAUGCUGGCUCCUUUAAGCUAAUAGUGAAGACUUAAACUCA